CCGUGAGUGGCCUGAUGUGUCCCCUGGGACAUCAGGACUUAAUGCUGUAUGUUGGCCACGCGUGAAUGGUGGAGCCAGAGGUGACAACAUUUACGUGGGAAGCCAAGUCUCUGCAGCAGCUUCCAGCACUGACUGGGGCAUCCACACUUGUGUACAACCCAGUAGAAGCAUCAACCGUAUUUUUGAGGAUAACCAUGAGGAACCCAUUUCCCCAGGGAUAGAAAUCAGCAAAGAGAUUGGGCAAAAAAAAGACUCACUUGAAGGGCUGCCCCAGUCUCCACGUCAAGGUCAAAAGUCAAGGAGGAUUUAGUUACAAUACCCAGAAAGGCACCUACCUCCCAGGAGAAGGCUUCUGUAAUCAUGUGAGAAAGUAAGAGCAGAAAGAAACAAAUUUGUUUAAAUUAGAUGCUGAUACAAGCCCCACAGAGGCUCUCGCGAUUUGCCAUUNAAAAAAAAAAAAAAAAAAAAAAAAAUUAAAAAAACAAAAACAAAAACAGAAAGAAGGAAGAGGGCGGGCUGUGCCGACUUCCUUCAAGACUCAGCAAGCUGGACUGAGGCAGAAAUCGCCCAUAAGGCCUUCUGGUCUCCCAUGUCAGGGAACACACGUGUGGGUCCUGACUCUCAGCCUUGUCUGACCCUCACUGCACGUGGAAAGCAGCCCGGCGUCUGCUGGUGCGCAGGUGCUGAGCAGGUCUCAGCCUCCGUGGACUCACUGGUAACACAGACAAGGCCUGUAAGAACCGGGCUUGUUCCAGCCCAAUCCUGGUGCCAACAGGAGCAUGGAGACUCCUCACGGGGCCACUCAGAACUCCCACUGGGUGAAGAAAACCUUCCCGAAUGUUCCACACGCCAGGAGAGGGGCCCUGCGGCUGCGUCUUCAUGUAUCAGGUUAGCUGGCAGCUCAUUUCCAGUCCUGGAAACAAAUGAUGGACACAAAUGA
rnacentral:lncRNA from 1 species